rnacentral:rRNA from 1 species
AUCCGCUCUCAUAAUGCUGAGGCGUGAUGGGGAAGGUUCUACGGAACCGAAGUACAUGAUUCCACGCUGCCAAGAAAAGCGUCUAGAGAGAGAAGUAGUGCCCGUACCGCAAACCGACACAGGUAGGUGAGGAGAGAAUCCUAAGGCCGGCGGAAGAAUUACAGUUAAGGAACUCGGCAAAUUGACCCCGUAAGUUCGCGAGAAGGGGUGCCUACGAGAGUAGGCCGCAGAGAAUAGGCCCAAGCAACUGUUUAGCAAAAACACAGGUCUCUGCUAAAGCGUAAGCUGAUGUAUAGGGGCUGACGCCUGCCCGGUGCUGGAAGGUUAAGGGGAACACUUAGCGCAAGCGAAGGUGUGAACUUAAGCCCCAGUAAACGGCGGCCGUAACUAUAACGGUCCUAAGGUAGCGAAAUUCCUUGUCAGGUAAGUUCUGACCCGCACGAAUGGCGUAAUGACUUGGGCACUGUCUCAACUGUAAAUCCGGCGAAGUUGUAGUGCGAGUGAAGAUGCUCGCUACCCGCGAUUGGACGGAAAGACCCCGUAGAGCUUUACUGUAGCUUAGCAUUGAGUUUUGGUAUUGUCUGUACAGGAUAGGUGGGAGACUAGGAAACCAGGGCGUCAGCCUUGGUGGAGUCAACCUUGGGAUACCACCCUGACAGUACUGAAAUUCUAACUGGCGGCCAUGAAUCUGGUCACAGGACAUUGUUAGGUGGGCAGUUUGACUGGGGCGGUCGCCUCCUAAAAAGUAACGGAGGCGCCCAAAGGUUCCCUCAGAACGGUCGGAAAUCGUUCGAAGAGUGCAAAGGCAGAAGGGAGCCUGACUGCGACACCCACAAGUGGAGCAGGGACGAAAGUCGGGCUUAGUGAUCCGGUGGUACCUCGUGGGAGGGCCAUCGCUCAACGGAUAAAAGCUACCUCGGGGAUAACAGGCUGAUCUCCCCCAAGAGUCCACAUCGACGGGGAGGUUUGGCACCUCGAUGUCGGCUCGUCGCAUCCUGGGGCUGAAGUAGGUCCCAAGGGUUGGGCUGUUCGCCCAUUAAAGCGGCACGCGAGCUGGGUUCAGAACGUCGUGAGACAGUUCGGUCCCUAUCCGUCGCGGGCGUAGGAAAUUUGAGAGGAGCUGUCCUUAGUACGAGAGGACCGGGAUGGACUGACCUCUGGUGUACCAGUUGUUCCGCCAGGAGCACAGCUGGGUAGCUAAGUCGGGAAUGGAUAAACGCUGAAAGCAUCUAAGCGUGAAGCCAACCUCAAGAUGAGAUUUCCCAUAGCGUAAGCUAGUAAGAUCCCUUGAAGAACACAAGGUUGAUAGGUCGGGGGUGUAAGCAUGGUAACAUGUUCAGCUGACCGAUACUAAUAGAUCGAGGGCUUGACCAAAU